UAUGGUUUGGUCUUUUCCAGAAUGGCCUA
rnacentral:piRNA from 1 species